UAACCUGCUAAAUAGUUAGGCCAACGUUUGUUGGUCGUCAACUUCUUAGAGGGACUAUUGACUAUUAGUCAAUGGAAGUUUGAGGCAAUAACAGGUCUGUGAUGCCCUUAGAUGUUCUGGGCCGCACGCGCGCUACACUGAUCAAGUCAGCGAGUUUACAACCUUGGCCGGAAGGUCUGGGUAAUCUUUUGAAACUUGAUCGUGCUGGGGAUAGUCCAUUGCAAUUAUUGGACUUCAACGAGGAAUUCCUAGUAAGCGUGAGUCAUCAGCUCGCGUUGAUUACGUCCCUGCCCUUUGUACACACCGCCCGUCGCU
rnacentral:rRNA from 1 species